rnacentral:rRNA from 1 species
GACGAACGCUGGCGGCGCGCUUAACACAUGCAAGUCGAACGGAAAGGCCUGCUUUCCCUUGUGGAUUGCGGGUACUCGAGUGGCGAACGGGUGAGUAACACGUGAGUGAUCUGCCCCCAACUUGGGUAUAAGCCUGGGAAACUGGGUCUAAUUCCCGAUAGGACUGCAGGGUGGUGCCUGUGGUGGAAAACGAUUUUCUAGUGGUUGGGGAUGAGCUCGCGGCCUAUCAGCUUGUUGGUGGGGUAAUGGCCUACCAAGGCGGCGACGGGUAGCCGGCCUGAGAGGGUGGACGGCCACAUUGGGACUGAGAUACGGCCCAGACUCCUACGGGAGGCAGCAGUGGGGAAUAUUGCACAAUGGGCGGAAGCCUGAUGCAGCGACGCCGCGUGGGGGAUGACGGCCUUCGGGUGGUAAACUCCUUUCGACCGCGAGGAAGCCACCUGGCUGGAAGGGUGGUGACGGUAGUGGUAGAAGAAGCACCGGCUAACUACGUG